GCCGGGCAUGGUGGUGCAUGCCUGUAGUCCCAGCUACUUGGGAGGCUGAGACAGGAGAAUCACUUGAACUCAGGAGGCAGAGGUUGCAGUGAGAUGAGAUCAUGCCACUGCACUCCAGCCUGGGUGAUAGAGUGAGACUCUAUCUCAA
rnacentral:SRP_RNA from 1 species